GACGUAGGGUGCGAGCGUUGUCCGGAUUUAUUGGGCGUAAAGAGCUCGUAGGCGGCUUGUUACGUCGACUGUGAAAACCCGCGGCUCAACUGCGGGCCUGCAGUCGAUACGGGCAGGCUAGAGUUCGGUAGGGGAGACUGGAAUUCCUGGUGUAGCGGUGAAAUGCGCAGAUAUCAGGAGGAACACCGGUGGCGAAGGCGGGUCUCUAGUACGGUACUGACGCUGAGACGCGAAAGCGUGGGGAGCGAACAGG
rnacentral:rRNA from 1 species